UCGGUAGUGAAUACAUUCUUGGGUGGUGAAU
rnacentral:piRNA from 1 species